GUAAUUUCUUUUCAUUAUAACGACAUAUCAGGUGGAUAGGUAUUUCCAGUCUUCUGUAUUACAUUAUUUGAUCUACUUUUUCCUUUUAAACUUCCUCAACACUAAAAGAUUUGAAUUUACUUUUGAUGUCAAAAUCUCAGAAUUUGAAAAGCUGUCACGACAACUAAGCAGGUGGCACAAUAAUCUAAAAUAAACCAUGGCAAAUGGUUAUCAUAGUAAGAGUUGGCUCUGACAACAAUCAUCUCUGUUUAUCAAUAAUGUAAAGGCUUACAAAAUUUAUAUGCAGCAACGAUUUGAAAUUCAUUUCAUUUUGGACACUUAGGUAAUGAGAAUUUUUAACAUCAGCACAACAAAGUCUCCAGGAUACUAAUAAAUCAUUCAUCACUUAAUCAGUGAUGUAUUAUUUAUUGGUAUUCAAUUUUUCAUGUUUUUGGCUCAUUGAUCCUGGGGAAGUAAAAAUAAAGAAAGGAAAGUAUGAACUGUGCUCAACUUUAUUUUAGGUAAUUCAGGUGAGACAGAAACUAUUUUUUUUUGACAGAGCCUUUAAAAUGGUUACUCGAGUAUAUUUAUUUUAAGAGAAUAAUUGUUGUUAUUAUUAUUAUUAUUAUUAUUAUUAUUAUAUAAAAACAGGGGUUUAGUAGGAGGUGGAUUAUUGAGUUGUAGCAUUGAACACAUGGCUGUGCAAAUUAACUUUUCCCCCCUGUGCUUUCUAGUAAAAGCCAGGCAGCCUCCCCCCGGGGAAGGAAGUCAGCAAGCUCCUUUGCAACACACUCUCUGGUUCACAGGGUUCCAGUUUGAUCAGCCUUCCAUGCACCCCGUUCUCUUUGAAGUCACUGUCACUCAUGGGAAGGCGGUGAAGGUGAUGCACUAG
ensembl:lncRNA